rnacentral:rRNA from 1 species
UACGUAGGGGGCAAGCGUUGUCCGGAAUCAUUGGGCGUAAAGAGCGUGUAGGCGGCUCGGUAAGUCCGCUGUAAAAGUCAAAGGCUCAACCUUUGAAUGUCAGUGGAUACUGCCGGGCUAGGGUCCGGAAGAGGCGAGUGGAACUCCUGGUGUAGCGGUGGAAUGCGCAGAUAUCAGGAAGAACACCAACGGCGAAGGCAGCUCGCUGGGACGGUACUGACGCUGAGGCGCGAAAGCCAGGGGAGCGAACGGG